AUUGAACGCUGGCGGCAUGCCUUACACAUGCAAGUCGAACGGCAGCACGGGGGCAACCCUGGUGGCGAGUGGCGAACGGGUGAGUAAUAUAUCGGAACGUACCCUGGAGUGGGGGAUAACGUAGCGAAAGUUACGCUAAUACCGCAUACGAUCUAAGGAUGAAAGUGGGGGAUCGCAAGACCUCAUGCUCCUGGAGCGGCCGAUAUCUGAUUAGCUAGUUGGUGGGGUAAAGGCCUACCAAGGCAUCGAUCAGUAGCCGGUCUGAGAGGACGACCAGCCACACUGGGACUGAGACACGGCCCAGACUCCUACGGGAGGCAGCAGUGGGGAAUUUUGGACAAUGGGGGGCAACCCUGAUCCAGCAAUGCCGCGUGAGUGAAGAAGGCC
rnacentral:rRNA from 1 species